CCUAUUCAUGGAACCAAUCUACUGUGGCUGAGUCUCUCCUUUCAUCGUAUAACCAGGAUGGCCGAGUGGUUAAGGCGUUGGACUUAAGAUCCAAUGGAUGUAUAUCCGCGUGGGUUCAAACCCCACUCCUGCUCUUCCUUACUUUGGCUCAGAUCAGGUAAUUGGGGCUGUGUACGGACAAUAUAGAUGCAUAGCGUUCCACAAGCAACUUGAUGAACUUUUCUGAAAGGUAACGGACUACAGUAUUGAACAUAUUCACUACAUGAAAACUUCUACCGACGAGGAUGGGAUU